AACAGUAUGAUGUAAACAACUGGGAAAUCUCUUCAAGCUAGCCGCCUUUGUUCACAUCUGUUAUAAAUUCUCUCCUGCAAUUGUUUACGUAAUUAGGAUUUUGUUAUUUGAAAUUGAAGUGUUGGAAUAACUAUUAUUUUUUAAUGUUUAUUUUUGAGAGAGAGCGUGUGUGGGAGGGGGACAGAGGAUCUGAAGUGGGCUCUGUGCUGACAGAGCCGACGUAGGGCUCGAACGCACGAACCGUGAAAUCAUGACCGGAGCCAGAGUCGUCGCUCAACUGACUGAGCCACCAAGGCGCUCCUGAAGUGUUGGGACGAAUUUUAAAAAUUUGUAACCAGGCUAUAAAGUAGUCUAACACUUUAAUUUCAAAUGAUAAAAUCCUAAUUAUAGGAGGUUUAUUUUUAAAAUUUAUUUUUAACUCUUGUUGACCUACCAUAUUCGUUUCAGGCGUACAGCAGGAGUCUCUCCUUCGUGCUCCCCACAGUUCAGUGCAGUCACCGUCGGUCACCGUACGUUAUUCCAGCAGUACUGACUGUUACGCUGUCCUUUUCAUCUCCGUGACUUGUUUCCGGGGCCUAUUUAAAGUGAAACUCCCUGAAAGCUGUACGAAGGUUACGAGCCUGUGUGUUUAAUGGAAACUGCACAUUCGGUAUAGUCAGGUUGAGGAAAUGGCCGUGUACUGGGUCUAGUGACACACACCAGCUGAAUUUACGAAUAACACGGGGCAGCUCGUAAAGCUUGCUUUAAAAGUUCCCUGUAGUUCCACAAUGUGUAGUGUGCGCCUGGGCUCAGAUCAACAUGGUCUACAGAGCUCAGACCAGGCCGUUUUAGCUCCAUUUAGGUUUCUCAGCUUUGUUCUUCUUGGGGACCUGUUUUGUAUCCUGUCCUCCUCUAGAUGUGUUACAACAGGAAAUGCUUGUAAGAUCAGAACUAGGUUUAAAUUGCCCAGCGCGGUGGUUCACCACCUAUGAGACUUUGAACUUCCGGUUCUUUGGGUGUAAAAUGCGUUCUUAGUAUCUUGUAUAAUGCGGGAUGGUUAACCACUUUAAGGAAAGGACAGGACUGGCUUAACAUGAAGCUUAGUCAUCUCUGGGGAACUUUUGAGUGACUUUUGCUACAGGACUGUACAACCCCGAAGGGUGGAUGGCUUGUUGCUAGAUCUUUCUGAAAGCACUCUAGCUGACUGCCAUUCUCCUGAAGGCAGAGAACGCUGGAAAAGCUGAGCAAGGUCUCCGUGGGCAGGAAAUUCUAGAGCAAAUCUCAACAGUCAAAAAACGAAAGCAUCGGUGAGCAAGUAUUUAUUGAGACAAAGAAUACAAAUCGGUGGCAUACAAAUUAUUAAAAAUAGAAUGCUGAAUUUUACUUAAAGGCAGGCCAUCAGAUACUGUUUGUGGAUCAAGUCCUACUAUAAUGAACUGCAAGAAACUAGACCCACAGCUGGAGAGGAGGAACGUCACCCAGGCAAGCACUUCUUGUAAAAGA